rnacentral:lncRNA from 1 species
CUCUUUUAAUAUUAGAAAUUAGGAAAAACUUCAAAAAACCUCCAUAUGGUUUUCGUAGUUUCUCACUCUGCCCCCUGUAGUUUAAAAUAUAUCAAAUUGGCCCCCGUGGUUUCGUUUUUAUCUUUUCGGUAGCUUUUUCGUUAAUAUUUCAUUAAAUUAUAUAAAAAAAUUUUCAGAUACCCAUUUAGAUUUAUCAAAUAUUUAUUUUACUACCCUUUAAUUUUAACUUUAUCACUGAUUUAAGAAAAAAAAUAAUGAAAUUGAUAAGAAAAAAAGAAAAAAAAACAACAGGGGGGCAAAUUAAUACAUUUUAAAUCACAAGGGGGCAAA